rnacentral:lncRNA from 1 species
AAAAAAAAAAAAAAAAAACCCUAAAAAAAUUUAUAAUUGGUUAAAUGACUUUUUCAAAAUUUUAUUUGGCCAAUUAAUAUUCUUCUUAUCAACUGAAUGUUAUGUUGAAUACAAAUGAGAAAAGCUUUAAAUCGUUCACCAUAUUUAAAAAAUAAUGAAUUAUUUUUUAGUUUUGUGAGAUUGUUAGGAUUGUAUGUGAAUUAUUGAGUUUGUGUUUGAUUGUUAAGAUUGUAUCGAUAGUUUUUUUCAGAUUUUCUCAGGCUCUUAAAAUUAAAAUUAUGUGUGUAUUGUAUGGAUAAGCUAUUAGAAUUUUUUGAGUUGUUAAGAUUAUAUGUAAUUUAUUAAAAUUUUAUAUAAUUGUUAGGAUUCUAUAUAGAAAAUAGAGAAAAAUGUACAAUUAAGGGUCUCAUACAUUUUUUAUUUAUCUUUAUUUAAAAAAAUUUUGUAUUUUGGGAUUUUAAUUGAUAGAUGCUAAUUGAGAAUUUAGGAGGUUGAUUAUUAAGGAUAAUGAUGGGGCCCAUACAUUGGUACAAUUAAUCCCUUAAUUGGGACUUAACUAAGAUUAAUUAAUGAGAGCUUGAUUUUAUUAGAAUUCCAAUUUUAAAAUGCCAUAGAAAUUGAGAAAUGCUAAGUCUUACAAGCAGGGAUGUAAACAAGAGGGACCCACCGUACGGAUUGGAUUUUAUUUAUUUUUGGGAAAACUUCAAAAAACCCCGUGUGGUUUUGCACUUUCUCACUUUAGUACCUGUAGUUUAAAGUGUAUUAAUGGGGUUUUUUUGCAAAUAGCCCCUGAGCAAUUUUUAUUUUAAGAAUAGCCCUAUCAAAAUUAAAAUUACAAAAAUGGCCCUCCCUGCCACGCAGGCGCCACGUCAGCGCCACGCGGGCAGGACUGGGGCCAGGGUAUUAAGUUGAACACGGUGAUGAUUCACCGUGUCUAAACACGGUGAAUGGUUCACCGUGUUUAAUACGUAUUUUUUGUAUAUUGAAAAGUGGAAUAAGGAGUAGGGAUGUCAAUAGGUAUGGAUAUCCGAAAUAUUAUCCGAAUCCAAACCCGAAUAAAUUAUAUAUAUAUAUAUAUACAUAAUUUAUUUUUGUUUAUUUAUACAAUAUAUAAAAUAUUUAAUAGUUUUUAUUUCUUAGAUCUUCAUCCAACAGUAUAGAUUUUUAAAACCCGCUGGGUUGAAUGAAGAUCUAAGUAAUAAAAAUUAUUAAAUAUUUUAUAUAUUGUAUAAAUAAACAAAAAUAAAUUACGUAUAUAUAUAUAAUUUAUUCGGGUUUGAAUUCGGAUAAUAUUUCGGAUAUCCAUACCUAUUGACAUCCUUACUCCUUAUUCCACUUUUCAAUAUACAAAAAAUACGUAACAAAAAAUAUGUACUAAACACGGUGAAUGGUUCACCGUGUUCAACUUAACACACGAGCCCAGCCCUGCCAGCGUGGCGCUGACAUGGCGCAUGCGUGGCAGGCCCAGGGCCAUUUUUGCAAAUUAAAUUUUGACAGGACUACUUUUAAAAUAAAAAUUUACCAGGGGUCUAAAUGCAAAAAAAGCCCUGUAUUAAUUUGUCCCUAUGUGGUUUUGUUUUUAUCUUUUCGGCAGCUUUUUUCUUAAUAUUUCGUUAAAUUAUAUACAAAAAACUUCAGAUACCCCACCUAGAUUUAUCGAACAUUUACUUUAGUACCCUUUAAGUUUAACUUUGUCACUGAUUUAAAUAAUAAUAAUAAUAAAAUUGAUAAUAAAAAGAGAAAAAUAAAACAACAGGAGGGCAAAUUGAUACACUUUAAAUCACAGGGUACUAAAGUGAGAAAGUGCGAAACCACGGGGUGUUUUUUUGAAGUUAUCCCUUUAUUUUUUGUCCCUACUUACCGCUCUAUUUGGGACGGAGCUUAACAAAAAUGAACUUUUAACAAAUUUUAAUAGAUUUUGGUAA